UUCCAUAACUAAAUCUAUUGGCAUCUUGCCUUUCAAACAGGAAAUGUACCGUUUGCAGAAGUUAUCGCAUAACUCAUGCACCUAGAGGGACGAAACGCAAGACAUUACUGUAAUGGUUUUGCACCCGCGGAGUCUGUGGGAAGAAGAGUUGUGAAUGCACGAUGGCUUGUUUGGAUUAUUUCGGGAAGUAUUACAAAUUAUAUUUCAAUACAAAUUUGUAUUAAACAGGAAACCUUUUGUCAAUGUACCUCGCAUAUAUACAGAGAAGCAUUCAUAUGGCAACACGUAUUGUCGCUUAUAUAUUUAGUGGAUAUGUAAAUUCAAACAGAGAAGCAUCAAUUCGAAAAACAAACAUCGAUUCAGCCGGGUAAUUUCGCUGCAAUAUCGUAAGCAACAGAGGCGCCCUUGUACGCCAUCAUUUAUACUACACGAAAACAAUAACAAAUAGAUCAAACGCUAGAUAGACUCAUUGUUAUGCAUUGUAAUACCUUUUCCAACUCUAACAAGUGGAAGCGAAGUACUUGUAUUGCUUGAACCAUCUAUAUAAAAAAAUAAGAGUAAAAAUAUAGGCCAUAAUUGUUAAUUGUACGGUUAUAAAGAAGAAAAAAGUGA